rnacentral:rRNA from 1 species
AACUUUUGACGGUGGAUCUCUUGGCUCACGCAUCGAUGAAGAACGCAGCCAGCUGCGAUAAGUAGUGUGAAUUGCAGAAUUCAGUGAAUCAUCGAAUCUUUGAACGCAAAUGGCGCUCUUGGGUUCUCCCAGGAGCAUGUCUGUCCGAGUGUCGGAUUGUCAUCCAUC